GGCACAAUGCCUGGAACAUACUUGUUAUUAUUUGUCCUUCAAUUUCAAAGAGGACCAAUGCCAUUGUAGAAUGAUGAUUUGGGCGUGAAUUGGAUUUAAGUGAGGCAAAGUUGCACAGUCAUCAGACUCAUUCUCUCUUUCAGGGUCUUUCACAUCCAGUGGCAAGACAAAAGUUUGCAAUGCAGUAGGUGACCUUGGCACCUUUGAUGUCUCUCCAGGUUCUGGGUGUUCCUCAGCACCCUUCCAAUGGAGGAAAGUCUUCAUAUGCUUGAGACAGACAUCCCUCUAACUCACCAACAGAGAAUGAUGUCCACAAUCAACCAACAAUCAAGCCUUAAUUUGUAGCAGUUGCUGAUUUCUGAGGUAUAAUUGCUCACCACAAAAAUUUACCCAUCUACCUAGUUGUCACAAGUGGCCAUAUUGGAAGCCUUUCCCAUGAAAUGACAGAAUUCUUCUAAUUGCUCCAACCACCUGAAUUAUUUCUGUCCAAACAGCCAGCCUUACACUUUACAUCCUUACCUUCGGUCCUUCCUUGCUUUUAAAAAUCGGCUGCUAAUUCGAAUGUACAACUGGGUCCUCAAUGAUAUUCCCUGAUGGGGUCAGAAAUUCCUGGGUUUGGGCCUUUCAUCUGGGGAUCUCAAAGCACUUUGCAAACAUUAAUUAAUACUCAUGACACCACUGUGAGGGAGAAGCACUAUCACUUGAUGGAUACUAGGAAAACCAAGUUGUAACUGUGUGAAUUAAAUAUCUGGGGGACCUCCAACCUACUCCA
rnacentral:lncRNA from 1 species